AAGUGGCGAACCGCAAUGAGUGGCCGGAUAAUCCCGUCGCCGUCACCCGGACGCUGCUUGUUCGGUCCGGAGUACUCCGGACUGCGGUGCGUGCGUGUCAGUCACCACGGUCACCGUCCCAAGCUUGACACCCGCAAGCAGAAUGAGACGUGCCCCACGCACCAGCAGAACGCCCGCUCUGCCGCUGACCUUGCCCAAAGCAGUAUAAAUCCAGCGCCACCUCCUGUGCCAUGCUAUGCUAUGCUCGGCCGCACCGCACCGACCGCACUAACCACUGGCCAGCUAGCCUUCUCGUCUCCUCCAAGAAGCAGAGCAUCCUCAUUCCUCAGCCUGCACCAUCCAUGGCGCGCCGGGCUGCCGCGUGCGCCGUCGCCGUGGCCGUGGCCCUGCUGGCGGCAGUGGCGUCGUCGUCGGCGGACGCGUGGCUGCACGAGGAGUUCGAGACGGAGGGCAACGUGCGGGCGGGCUACGACGCGCGGGGGCGGCAGGUAGCGUCCAUCGUCCUCGACCGGCAGUCCGGCGGCGCCUUCCGGUCCCGGCGCAGCUACCUCUACGGCCAGUUCAGCGUCCAGAUGAAGCUCGUCCCCGGCAACUCCGCCGGCACCGUCGCCUCCUUCUACCUGUCGUCGGGCAACGAGCCGGGGCACGACGAGAUCGACAUGGAGUUCAUGGGCAACAGCACGGGCCAGCCGGUGGCGCUCAACACCAACGUGUGGGCCAACGGCGACGGCAAGAAGGAGCAGCAGUUCUACCUCUGGUUCGACCCGGCCGCCGGCUACCACACCUACACCAUCAUCUGGAACGACCGGAACGUCAUCUUCAAGGUGGACGACCUCUUCCUCCGCUGCUUCACGCGCCACGCCGACCUGCCCUACCCGGGCGCCAAGCCCAUGGCGGUGCACGCCACGCUCUGGGACGGCAGCUACUGGGCGACGCAGCAGGGGAGGGUGAAGGUGGACUGGUCCGCGGCGCCCUUCGUCGUCUCCUACCGCGGCUACUCCGCCGACGCCUGCGUGCCCGCCGGCGCCGGCCGCCCGCUCGCAUGCCCCGCCGGCACCGACCGCUGGAUGACGCGCCGGCCCAGCGCCGCCGAGCGCGGCACCCUCGACUGGGCCAGGAGGAACUACAUGCACUACGACUACUGCGCCGACGGCUGGCGGUUCCCCAAGGGGUUCCCCGCCGAGUGCUCCCGGGCAUGAUCUUCACUGGCCGCCGGUGCUCGCUCCCUCUGAUCGUCGGUCGAUCGUGCAUGUAUACAUUUCGGCAGCCAUCCAUUGAUCCAUCCGCACUCUUCUUGAUCUCGCUCUCCCUGUUUUCUCACCUGUCAUAUGGUGAUUGUUGCCGAGACGGAUUGAUGAAGAUAGUAAAUAAAGGUGAAUGAAUUCUCCAAGAA